UACAGAGGUCUCAAGCGUUGUUCGGAUUCAUUGGGCGUAAAGGGUGCGCAGGCGGCCAAGUGUGUGAGGCGUGAAAGCCUGGAGCUUAACUCCAGAAUUGCACCUCAAACUACUUGGCUAGAGCAUUGGAGAGGGUAGCGGAAUUCACGGUGUAGCAGUGAAAUGCGUAGAUAUCGUGAGGAACACCAGAGGCGAAGGCGGCUCCCUGGACAAUUGCUGACGCUGAGGCACGAAAGCGUGGGGAGCAAAAGGG
rnacentral:rRNA from 1 species